UACGUAGGUGACAAGCGUUGUCCGGAUUUACUGGGCGUAAAGAGCGCGCAGGCGGUCGUUCAAGUCGAGUGUGAAAGCCCCGGGCUCAACCUGGGAAUGGCAUUUGGGACUGCAAGGCUUGAGUGCGGCAGAGGAGUGUGGAAUUCCUGGUGUAGCGGUGAAAUGCGCAGAUAUCAGGAGGAACACCAAUGGCGAAGGCAGCACUCUGGGACGUGACUGACGCUGAGACGCGAAAGCGUGGGGAGCAAACAGG
rnacentral:rRNA from 1 species